UAAAGAAGGAGAUGGCGGUUGUGCCUCGCCUGAUGUGGCCAAGGAGUCGCCCUGGGCUCCGCACACGGCCGGCCGGCCAGACAGACGCAUGUUGGGAAAGGACAUUUAUUAUCAGUCGCCUUUUGAGCCCCUAUUCAAAUACCAGCGGAAGAUUUCAGAGUUCAUCUAGACUCUGCAUAACCUCCCUCUGCCACCCCUCCUACUUAUUCAAGGUUUACCAGCGGUCCAAGGCGGCUUUGAUACCUGCCGGCCCGCCCCCCUCGGAGACGGUGCUCAGGAGAUGAAGAGCGUAUUCAGAACGAGUGUCUCAAUGAACACAACGCCUUCACAUCUCUCUGUUUGUUCCUCGAUACAUCACGGAGAGAGAUCUGGGAGACUGAGGAUGGAGUUAUCUGCUGUGAGCCAUGGAAGCUGUUCUUCUGGGGGGAGGAAGCAAGGUUCCCAUGAUGAGAACAACAAGCAGGAGAAGCUGAUUUAUCAUCGUAUUAUAAUUCAGAGAAGACAGAGAUCUUUUAUAUCUAGCAAUUAUUUAACCGCCGCUUAAAUAAAAACCUAGGACACUUUCAAGAACAAAUAAC
ensembl:lncRNA